GAUGAACGCUGGCGGCGUGCCUAAUACAUGCAAGUCGAGCGAACGGACGAGAAGCUUGCUUCUCUGAUGUUAGCGGCGGACGGGUGAGUAACACGUGGAUAACCUACCUAUAAGACUGGGAUAACUUCGGGAAACCGGAGCUAAUACCGGAUGAUAUUUUGAACCGCAUGGUUCAAAAGUGAAAGACGGUCUUGCUGUCACUUAUAGAUGGAUCCGCGCUGCAUUAGCUAGUUGGUAAGGUAACGGCUUACCAAGGCAACGAUGCAUAGCCGACCUGAGAGGGUGAUCGGCCACACUGGAACUGAGACACGGUCCAGACUCCUACGGGAGGCAGCAGUAGGGAAUCUUCCGCAAUGGGCGAAAGCCUGACGGAGCAACGCCGCGUGAGUGAUGAAGGUCUUCGGAUCGUAAAACUUUGUUAUUAGGGAAGAACAUAUGUGUAAGUAACUGUGCACAUCUUGACGGUACCUAAUCAGAAAGCCACGGCUAACUACGUG
rnacentral:rRNA from 1 species